GUAGGGAAUCUUCCACAAUGGACGCAAGUCUGAUGGAGCAACGCCGCGUGAGUGAAGAAGGGUUUCGGCUCGUAAAGCUCUGUUGUUAAAGAAGAACGUGGGUAAGAGUAACUGUUUACCCAGUGACGGUAUUUAACCAGAAAGCCACGGCUAACUACGUGCUAG
rnacentral:rRNA from 1 species